rnacentral:rRNA from 1 species
GAUGAACGCUGGCGGCGUGCCUAAUACAUGCAAGUCAAGCGAACGGACGAGAAGCUUGCUUCUCUGAUGUUAGCGGCGGACGGGUGAGUAACACGUGGAUAACCUACCUAUAAGACUGGGAUAACUUCGGGAAACCGUAGCUAAUACCGGAUAAUAUUUUGAACCGCAUGGGUCAAAAGUGAAAGACGGUCUUGCUGUCACUUAUAGAUGGAUCCGCGCUGCAUUAGCUAGUUGGUAAGGUAACGGCUUACCAAGGCAACGAUGCAUAGCCGACCUGAGAGGGUGAUCGGCCACACUGGAACUGAGACACGGUCCAGACUCCUACGGGAGGCAGCAGUAGGGAAUCUUCCGCAAUGGGCGAAAGCCUGACGGAGCAACGCCGCGUGAGUGAUGAAGGUCUUCGGAUCGUAAAACUCUGUUAUUAGGGAAGAACAUAUGUGUAAGUAACUGUGCACAUCUUGACGGUACCUAAUCAGAAAGCCACGGCUAACUACGUG